rnacentral:rRNA from 1 species
CAAAGGAGAAAUCCGCUGAGAGAUGGGCUCGCGUCCAAUUAGCUAGUUGGCGGGGUAAAGGCCCACCAAGGCGACGAUUGGUAGCCGGACUGAGAGGUUGAACGGCCACAUUGGGACUGAGACACGGCCCAGACUCCUACGGGAGGCAGCAGUGGGGAAUAUUGCACAAUGGGGGGAACCCUGAUGCAGCGACGCCGCGUGAGGGAAGAAGGUUUUCGGAUUGUAAACCUCUGUCCUCUGUGACGAUAAUGACGGUAGCAGAGGAGGAAGCCACGGCUAACUACGUGCCAGCAGCCGCGGUAAUACGUAGGUGGCGAGCGUUAUCCGGAAUUACUGGGUGUAAAGGGAGCGUAGGCGGGGGAACAAGUUGAAUGUUUAAGAUAUGGGCUCAACUCAUAUAAGCGUUCAAAACUGUUUUUCUUGAGUGAAGUAGAGGUAAGCGGAAUUCCUAGUGUAGCGGUGGAAUGCGUAAAUAUUAGGAGGAACACCAGUGGCGAAGGCGGCUUACUGGGCUUUAACUGACGCUGAGGCUCGAAAGCGUGGGUAGCAAACAGGAUUAGAUACCCUGGUAGUCCACGCUGUAAACGAUGAUUACUAGGUGUGGGGGGACUGAACCCUUCC